GGAGGCUGGCGGCGGGCGAGACUGUCGCCAACCCGGUCAGGUUCGGAAGGAAGCAGCCGUAACGAUUUCGUCUCGGGUCGUCGCCAGUCUCUCAC
rnacentral:SRP_RNA from 1 species